AUUUUGCCAGGGAGAGGAUUCCAGAACGUGUCGUCCAUGCUAGGGGAGCCAGUGCUAAGGGUUUCUUUGAGUGCACCCAUGAUAUUUCUCACCUUACUUGUGCUGAUCUUUUUCGAGCUCCAGGGGUUCAGACACCUGUCAUUGUUCGCUUCUCCACUGUUAUCCAUGAGCGGGGCAGCCCUGAGACACUCAGGGAUCCUCGAGGAUUUGCAGUCAAGUUUUACACCAGAGAGGUGAGGGUCUAUCUCUAAUGCCUUUAUUUUUCUAUAUUGAUCACUAAAAUGUAUUAGAUGAUAGCAUAUGUAUCCACGUCAUGGCUGCCAGAAUCAUGAAAACAACAUUUAAUCAGUAGAUUUGAUGGAUGUUCUGUUGUGUUACAUAGUUCCCGUGGGAUUCUAGAAGUGCCAAAUAAGAAAUAGGGAAAAUGAGAAUUUUGUAACUCUUUGGAAUUCUUUGUAUAAUCACAUGCGGCUUUAAUUAUAUCUUUCUAAGAUUAUUUCCUGUACUUCUUAACAUUUCAUAUAUGUAUGAAGUUACAGAAUUGUAAGCUAACAAGCUCUUAUUUGUUCUAUUGCUUUACACAUUCUUAUUGUGAUUUUUUCUUGUGAACUCAGGGUAAUUGGGAUCUUCUGGGUAACAGUAUCCCUGUUUUUUUCAUCCGUGAUGCAAUCAAAUUCCCAGAUGUGAUCCAUGCUUUUAAACCUAAUCCAAAGUCUCACAUCCAAGAGUACUGGAGGAUCCUCGACUUCUGCUCCCACCUUCCUGAAAGCUUGUCCACAUUUUCCUGGUUCUUUGAUGAUGUGGGUAUUCCACAAGAUUACAGGCACAUGGAAGGCUUCGGUGUUCAAACUUUUACACUGGUCAAUAAGAAUGGGAAAGUGCACUAUGUGAAAUUCCACUGGAAACCAACUUGUGGAGUUAAGUGUUUGAUAGAUGAUGAAGAAGCAGUAAAGGUUGGUGGAUCUAAUCACAGCCACGCUACUCAGGAUCUCUACGACUCAAUUGCAGCUGGAAACUAUCCUGAGUGGAAACUCUACAUUCAGACUAUUGAUCCCGAUCACGAGGACCAAUUUGACUUUGACCCACUGGACGUAACCAAGUGGUGGCCUGAGGACAUCAUCCCUCUGCAGCCAGUUGGACGCUUGGUCUUGAACAAGAACAUCGAUAAUUUCUUUGCGGAAAAUGAAAUGCUUGCAUUUAACCCUGGUAUCGUGGUUCCUGGGAUCUACUACUCAAAUGAUAAGAUGCUCCAAUGUCGAAUCUUUGCCUAUGGUGAUACCCAGAGGCAUCGCCUUGGACCCAACUACUUGAUGCUUCCAGUUAAUGCACCCAAAUGUCCUCAUCGCAACAAUCAUUAUGAUGGUUUCAUGAAUUUCAUGCACAGGGAUGAGGAGGUACUUAGUUUCUACUUUCCCCCCUGGAAACAAAAUUUAUGAAUCAAAAUAGGCUCGGCACCUAUAAUCUAUCCACAUUUAUCUUAACUUAGAUAAUGGUGCAUGUCUUAAAGAUACAAGUGCUUAGUACAAGUGGAUGGUAUCAGAAUCUAACCUGUUGUGUGCUAGUGUUAUAAAAAAAUGCUCUAAUUGGAUAUUAUGAUGCUUUGUUUUAGGUCGAUUACUUUCCUUCGAGGUAUGAUCCUACUCGUCAUGCUGAGAGAUAUCCCAUUCCUUCUGAUGUAAUUACAGGAAGGCGUGAGAAGGUAAAUUUCUGUACUUGAUAAUUCUUAAAUCUUGAAAUUCUAUUUUCACUUACAUUAGGAGAUGGGUUGGUUCAUAAACAUAAUUGGAAUAUAUUUAUGAAGGCUAAAUUUUCCAAAUCUAUUGGUAAACGCAGGCUUGCAUUGAGAAGGAAAACAACUUCAAGCAGCCUGGAGAGAGAUACCGAUCCUGGGCCCCAGACAGGUAAAUUCAUGUUUGCCCCCAUUUUUCAAUUAAAAUAUAUUUGUGAAAUCAAAACAUUAACCUCUUUGCUACAUUUUUAUAUGGCUUAGGCAAGAGAGGUUCCUUAAUCGAUGGAUUAAGGCUUUAUGUGACCCACGUGUCACCCAUGAGGUUCGCAGCAUAUGGGUCUCUUACUGGUCUCAGGUGAGACUCCCUUUCAUUUCAACCUGUUGCAAAUUAUGGCUGCAACUUUGAAAGUUGGAAUUUUUGGUGAUAUUGUUCUCAAAAUUGAAUAAUAUAUGUAGCGUGUAUCAGCUAAACUAAUCAUACAUGGUAUUCUUUGCUGUUAUGUAUAUAGGCCGACAGAUCUCUGGGUCAGAAGCUAGCUUCUCGUCUCAAUGUGAGGCCAAGCAUUUGAAGGUGUCACUUGAACUGGAACACUGGAUGCUUUUGACUUGCCAAGAGUGAGCAAGGAGUGAACACCAAGGGUGCAGCUAUGUGAAGAAUUUCGAUCCUAUGUUUGCUGUUGUAUAUUGUAAUAUAGAAAAUAAACUUGCAUGUUAUGUGACUCUUUUCCUGUUGUUUCAAUUAAUAAAAGUCUGUUUUAUGAAGUUCAAUAUCGGAUCUAGAGUUGUUGAAUCAAUGUUUGCUGCUCUGGUUGCCUCAGUCUCCUAAUUAGUGAUCCUCUUCCAGUAGAAAGUUUCGUAAUUGCAAGAGCUUAUUGUAUUGCCAUUGUUUUGCAUCAGAAAACGAAUAGAUAGAUUCUUACUCACUGGUUGAAUGCUUGAACUGUCUUGUUCUAGAGUCUCGAUUGCUUUCAACUUUGUUAUGCUGCAGAUUAGAAUUCUGGAGAUCAGUUAUAAGUUUACUCUGCAAAGUGAUUUCAUUCUACUGUUCGUGAAUUCACAACUCUUCCUGCUCAAAAUUUCAUUUUGCCAUCUAUAGACAAAUGUGGUUUAUCAAGAGUCGUGUCUAGACGACAACCAAACCCUAGAUAUCUACGGUGCGCUCUCACUCUUUUCUUGUGUAGGCAUUCAUAUUAUGUGUUUUAACUUUUUCAUAUCUGUGCAUUUGUAGUAAUAGAUUUGGUGUGUUUUGUGUUUAAAGUAAUUUUUAGAAGCUGUCAAGCUAGUUACAUAUCAGAAUUUUUUUUUUUUUGGUGGAAAAACUAAUCAAGUGGCAGCUUAACUGAGUACAAGACUCAUGAAGAGAUUGACAAAUAUAUAUAUAUUUUUAAUAUUUUUGAGAAGACCAAAUGAAUGUUUGCAGCUGAACUUUGAAUGACUAUAAAAUUUUCCGGACAUGGAUAAUAGCACAAAGACCAAAUUUUGCUUGAUGUAGGUGACGUGGAAAAGGAAAUCAAUAUAGUAAGUGUUCCUAAUUGCUGCUAAACCACUGUAAACAAGAGUUGAGUUAUUGAGAUUUAAAAUAUUGUGCCAGAUUUAACACAUUUCUUGUUUGUAAAAUAGAUUUGUUUAGUUGGGCUAUGAUCUUUUCUUCGUCCAUGUCAUUAUUUAACUGUAAAGCAGAGCAGAAUAAUAUAGCAGCGGGGAAAAAUGAGGGAAGACACAUUGCUCUUUUGAUUUUGAAGCACUGUAAAAUUCCUUCCAUUUGGAGUUCUAGCAAGUUGCAUACCAUAGGACAUAGUGAUUUAUGCAUGUUUGAUUUGGCAUUUCCCAAGUGGCUAUCAGUCAAGAUUUCUUUCUUUCAUUCUGCAGGAGAGAAGCUCCCGACACCUACCAUGGUGCCUUGAGAAGUGAAGGCUUUUGGGAAUCAGUUUGGUUCUGUGUAGAUGAGUUUGCACUGAUACUCAGGAAGUUAUGUUGACCUUCUCUAUAGCAUCAGAAAGGCACAAUGCCAAUAUAUUUCAUUUAGCUUAGAGAUUUGCUAGGAGAGCACAGUUGUUCAUUUGGUCUGUGGUUUUGUUUCAGAUAUACGAAUCAAUGCUGCCAGUUUUCCAAAUACAAUUCCUGUGGGUUCAGGUGUUAGCUUUAAAGAAAGUGGAGCAAGGCAAUAACGUGGUGAUGGUUUGUAACUAUCGCUGUUCAUUGGACUUGGUUUUGAUGGACUUCUUGGAACUUGGAUGUGUUUUCUGGUUUAUUUGAAUGAUACUAAUCACAGCAUGAUGAUAAAGAAUCCUCGUUUGUGUGAAAAAAUUAUCAGAAUCAGGAACUUGCUCAAAUCUUCAACAAUCUUUAUAUUCACAAAGCAAUUGUAAAAUUGCUAUGAAUCAUGAAUGGAUAUCAGGGAGGCUUUGUGAAACAAUAACAUGAUCCCAAGCAACAUCGAUUUUUUACCUGUUGGAUUCAUCAUGCUUAGCCACUUGUUUGAAAUAUUUAGAAGCACUCUCGAACUCAAUAAGUAUGCCUGGGAACACAAGAAAUGCUCUUGCUUCAGCCUUAUUUGCAGUUCUUCCCAGAUGACAACCCAUUAUCAAACCAUGGACCGAUGCUGGAGGUAAGCUUUCAAUUUAUCCAAAAGUUCCAACAUUUAUGUUAGAUGUUUUGAGUGAAUCAUGUUUGCUUCUGAAUAUGUCUGCUGAUCGAUAUUUUGCUAGAAAGACCAGUUUGUCAAUAUCAUAAACUGCGUGAUUGUAAAUAAAUGAAAAAUUUCUUAUAAAACUCCACAUGCUAGAUGAAUGUGCAGCCUAAUCCUACAAAUGCAUCGAUUGACCAUAACAUAUGCCGCAGUUCCCUUCUUACUACCAUAGAGUCACUUUUCCUGAGGGUAGCCCUUGACCGUUAGGUUCGUAACACCAUUUUACAAGUUUGUAUUUUAUUUGUACCAUGGACCUCAGCUAAACUAGGGUGCAAAACUCGAGAGUAGAUUAUAUAAACUCUAAUAUAAACCUUCUUUUAGGAAGGAAAAUGAAAGAUUGCAGGUAAGGCUUUAGGCCACUAAAUUGUUUGCUUAGCAGUUUCAGCAUAGUACACACAAACACACACACACACACACACACGAAGGUACAUAUAUACACUUUUUUAAUGAUGUGUUGGCAUACGUAUAUACAAAGUUCUUCUCUAACGAAGAUAUCCUCACAUUAUUAAAGUGAGGAUGUUACAAAUAUACAAAAAAAUACAGAUUUUACUACAUUGAAAACUGUGUUCAUUUUAAAAAAGUGCUAUCAGAAUGAUAAAUAUGCACCCAAAAGAUUCCUUUAUUCUCUUUUGUAUAAUAAACAUUACAUUAUUAUACUAUAUGAUUUAAUCAUUUUUUUUGUCUUUUAAUAAAGUCAGGAAACGUUUAUCAAAUAAGUACUAUAUAUAUAUAUAUAUGGAGAAAUAACAAGAUUUAGCAACCUCUACAUAGCAUAGUAAAUUUUAUUGAGAAAGAAAUGAAAAGAUCAUUGAUGGGUAGAAGAGAGAGAGAGAGAGGGCGGCGAAGCUGAACUUGAUAAUUGAUUUUUGAUACCCAUUUAAUUUAAGUUUUAAUGAAAACGAAACACACUCAAUUAGGAAGAUACUAAUAUUCUAAUAGAAGAAUUCGCAAUUUGAAAUUAUUAGUAAUGGAUUAUUUAAAAUUUAAAAUUAUUAUAAUUACAUAAAGUGGAUUGUAUAGAUGGUUCAACCAAUAAAACAUUAAAACUAUCAGUAAUGCUUGAUGAGACUUUUACGGGAAUGUUAUCCACUUUCGCAUCAGAGUUUGAGAGUGGUUUUUCUUAAGCAGAAUAAUUUAUUGAUGCACUGAAAAUAGUUUAGACAAUUAAAAAUAAUAUACAAAUAUGAUAAUUUAUCAAUGCUCAGAAAUGUAUGCAUUUAGAUCCCCCCCCCCCCCCCCCCAAAAAAAAAAAAAAAAAACAAAGAAGGUAUGCAUUAAAAAGUGGGUCCAAAAGAAGUCAGUCUUGUGGCGGCAAAGCUCACCUCACCACACGCCCAUUUUACUCUUUAUCAAAAGCGUAAAUUAUACCGUUCACAUUGUAAAUCAGCAGCUUUCAUUUCGCGCACACACUCGCACAGCUCUUCGAGUCUAUCUCUUGACACUUUUCUAAUGAUAGAGCACACGUCUCAAUGCUCUUCUGGAGACGUGGCGUCACCAAGCUGGUCCAUGUCAUCUUCUGCCCAUAAGUGGUUACGAAUUCUUUGUAGUAAACUUCCAAAACACUGGAUAAGGAACCCUUGAAAUCCUGUCGUUCGCAAAAUAUAUAAUUUUUUAAUCUUUCAUCACCUUAAGGAUAAUCAUCUCUGUUGCGGGUCCCAUCUCUUGCCUUGAAAGAAUCAAUAUCGGCGGAGAAUUAAAUUUAAUAUAACAUAUCAUCCAAUCCACGAUAUUUUGUCCUAAAUUAUUCAGAAAUAUUUUUUUAGAUUAUUUUAUAAUUGGAUAAAAAAAAAAGUGGGCAUAACAUUUUAGAUUAUUUUGGCCUGCAAAUAGGUACUAUUCAAGGCCUUGCUCUUUUUCCUACAGCCCAGGUCUUCAGUUUGAAUUUCAAUAUAUGCAUGAUUUAAUAAUAAAAAAAUAUUUUAACAUAAAUGAUAAUACAGUUGAAAAUUUUAGUAGAAAUUGAUAUGACCUAAAUUUAUUAGUUUAAUAAAAAUAUAAAAUAAUAAAAAUAAAUUAUAUUGACGCAAAGUUAUUUAAUUCAAUUAAUUGAAUUAUAUCAUAUUAGUCUGCACAAAAGAAAUUUGUAUAAAAGUUUAUAACUCUAUUAUUAUUAUUUUUUAUUUAACACAAGAAAAUAAAAAUAUUUGACAUAUUAUUUUUACUAAGACAUUUAUUAAUAUCGGUUAGUAAACUAAUAUAUAUAGAUUUUUUAAAGCUUAUAAAUUAAAAAAACUUAUUAAUUAUUUUUUAGAUAUACUAAGAUUAUCCCAAAUACUUUACCUUGAAUGAAGUGAUAAUAUUGAAUGACUAUUCUAGGUAUGUACUAAAUAGCCUUAAAAUGAUAACAAAUAAAUAGAGUAAUGAUAUAGCCAUAAACUCUUGUAUAAAUUUAUAUUGUACAAACUGAUGUGGCGUUAAUUCAUUGGUUGAAUUAAAUAUUUAUUAGCCCACAUGAUUUAUUUCUAUUAUUUUAUAUUUUCAUUAACCAAUGAAUUAAUACCACAUCAAUUCGCAUAAGAUAAGUUUGUACAAGAGUUUGUAGCUGUAUCAUCACUCAAAUAAAUAUCUUACGCUUUUCUAAAAUAAAAAGAUAGGAUAAUUUUUUAAAAUUCUAAUAAUAUAGUAAUACUCGUUUUCUAUAAAUGCCUAUUAAACUAAGGCUCCGUUUGGUAGAGCUUAUUAAAUAGAGCUUAUAACAGUAGAGCUUAUAGCAGUAGAGCUUAUACCAAUAGAGCUUUUGAACAAAAAGUCAUUGGGUAUUUGGUUGUCAAUAAAAAAAAUAUUUUUGAACCAUUAAACUGUGUGAUAUUUUUUAUAUUAUAUAUUUUUAAAAAAACUCUAUAGCCUCUACUCCCAAAAGCUCAAAAAUAGAGGUAAAUUAGCUUAUUUAAGCUAAAAAAAUUCUAUUAAAAAAAUAACUAAACACCAUAAAAAUUUUUAAAAAGUGCUUAUACGAUUAAAUAAGCACUUAUGGUUCUUAAAUAAGUCAUACCAAAAAGGCACUAAGCCAGUUAGAGACUUACAUAAUAAAAUUGAAUCUUUUUUUCUUUUUCAUAAGUCAAAAAAUUGAUUGUACUCUUUCUAUACUAAGAUGAAAAUUAAGUAAUAUAACAUUCUUUUUUUUUUCAGGCUAUUAAGUAUGAAUAAUAUUCUCUAAUUUUAACUUUUAAGUAAACAAGAAUAUAAAUGACUUUUAGUUGUUGUAUUAGAUUAAUUCCCCUAUUUUAUUAUAGUAACAUAGAAGGAGAGUGAAUGAAGAUUUUUGAACAUUGUUUUUAUUUUUUUUUUAAGUAGUAUUUAAAGAACCACCAAAAAAAAAUAAUAAUAAAAGAAGGAAUAAUUAUCAAUUUAUAUUAAUGGCGAGACGUGAUAUUGGCGAGAAAAUGAACACGUCGAAGCUUGUUUGUCUCAUUACGGAUUUUUGGUGUCGCUAUAGAUAGAAAAACGGGUGAGGCCUCUCUGACAUCUGAGGCUGGCAGAAAUUAGAAGCGCGAGCCACGAGAGUCUGUGUAUAUAAAUAAAUAAUAAGGCAGUAGUAUUGCAUUCGUGAUCACCGGCUUUUGGUUGCCACACAAUCCCCAUUUGUCUACUCUCUCUUUUUCUUUCUCGUAGUGUAGCUUCUCGUUCAAUCUUUUUUUCUGCUUCCCUCCCGCUAUGGAUCCAUACAAGGUACUAAUCCCAUCUGUCUAUUUGUUUUAACUCUUAAUUCAAUCGAUUGCUUUAUUGAGUUUCCAUCCCAAUAUCUCUAUUUGAUGGGUCAGGCUAUUUUAACUUGAAUUUUUGAAUGAUUGGAAUCUGUUUCGGUUUUCAUCAUCUGCUUUAUUAGAUAUUCAAUUUCUAGAUCAAAGCUAUGAUCUUCCUUUUUUUUUUUUUUUUUGGUUUGAAAAAUUUUACCGUGUCGUUAGGGUUUCCCCAAUGAUUUUGAGAAGAAGUUUUAAAUCUUUUCGCUUGUAUAUGUUUAGCUCCCAUUUAAAUGAAGAGACUUGUACUAAUAAUCUAAUAUUGUUUGUGUUUUUGUAUCAUGAUGAUACAGUUCCGCCCUGCCAGUUCUUUCAACGCCCCCUUCUUUACCACCAAUUCCGGCGCUCCGGUAUGGAACAACAACUCAUCAAUGACGAUUGGACCUAGAGGUAUCAACACGUUAUUGUUUAUUCACUGUUUUCUGUUUGGUAAUUGAUGUUGUUUAUUGUGCUAGGAGUUAGCAACUUGCCCUUUUGAGUUGUUGGAUUUGUGUUUGACUUAUUUGCCAUUCUCUCGAAUUAGAUUUAUGUAUAUUAUUGCUCAGCUGUUUUAUUAUUUUGGUUAUUGCUUUUAUCGCAUAUCAAAGUCUCUGUUAAUUUGGUGAGCGGGGGCCAUUAUCAUCAUCUUUGUCAUUAUUCAUGUAGCCAGUGGAAGUAAAAUAAUCAGAAUAUGUGCUUUGAUCGGAUGAGUAGCAAACUAUAGGUAUUCUAGUCUCUUUUGUAGACUAUCUUAUCUUUAUAAUAUGGAUUUCCGAUACUGGUCUCUGCUAUGCAAUGUCAAAUGGAAUUAAUAAGUUAGAUCUAUUUUCAAAAGUAUUAAUCUUGAGGUAUAUUUUUUAGUGUCAAUCUACAAAACCAGAAUAUUUUUCCUUUCUCCAUCUGGCUUGGCAGAACAUUUUAAUUCAUAAUAAGAUUCCUUAUUGGCUAGUCCUUUUUAUUUUUUUGCUUCACUUUGAUGGAUAUGGUUUAAACUUUUUAAUUCAGGGAUUUAAGUUGCUUCAAUUUGACAGGUCCAAUCCUCCUUGAGGAUUAUCAUCUAGUGGAGAAACUUGCAAAUUUUGAUAGGGAGCGGAUUCCAGAACGUGUUGUCCAUGCCAGGGGAGCCAGUGCUAAGGGUUUCUUUGAGGUCACCCAUGAUGUUUCUAACCUUACUUGUGCUGAUUUCCUUCGAGCCCCAGGGGUUCAGACGCCUGUCAUUGUCCGCUUCUCCACUGUUAUCCAUGAGCGUGGCAGCCCUGAAACCCUGAGAGAUCCUCGAGGAUUUGCGGUCAAGUUUUACACCAGAGAGGUGAGAGGGGCUUAUGUCAUACUUGUUUUAUUACUAAUGUGUAUUAGAUGGUAUGUAAUAUGUGGGGGAUCAUGGAGAUGAUCGUUUAGUUACAAAUGAUGCAUGUAUUUAGGGCAUGGGUACUUGUAGCUUUAAGUUGCUUUUGCUGAAAGAACAGGAGAUUUUUCUAUUUUGAUUAUGAUGCUUCAAAAAUUUUAUAAUUGUAAUGGUGAAAUAGGGAAAAUAAGAGUUCUUCAAUUGCUUCGGCAGAUUUUCCCAUGUGAUGUGGUUGCUAUAACAUAUUUUCAUGUGUCUUCAAUCGUAUGUAAAUAUGUAAUCACUUAGUCAUGAAGGCUGCAUAGGUUCAGCAUUUCGUGUGUUUUAAGUCAUCCGAUAUUUUAUUACUCCAUGAAGGUGGACAAGUUGCAGGCUGUCAAGAAGUUAGCUCCCCUACUUGUUGAUAGGUUCUUACGCUGACCUUUUUGUCAUGUGAGUGCAGGGUAAUUUUGAUCUUGUGGGAAACAAUUUCCCCGUCUUUUUUGUCCGU
rnacentral:lncRNA from 1 species